CCGAGCGCCGGCUCCUCCCCGCCUCCCAGUCCCCGUCCCCCUCCCUCCCCUCUGCUUUCCUGCCCAGCCCGCCUCCCGGCCGCUCCCUCCGGCCCCGGGGCUCCCACCGCUCCUGGCGGCGGGCGCCCACGCAGGUGGGGACCGACCCGGGUCCCGCCCCCGGCCGCCGCCGCCCCCUGCGCUGUGCGCCCGGCCGCCAGCCGGCCCCUUUCCCUUUCUUGCCUUUCCUCCUCCGCCCCGCUCCCGCGCCCCGGCUCUCCGCGACCCCCUCCUCUCCCUGCCUUCCCCGCUUCCUCUCCCUCUCCUCUCUUCCUAACCCCGUCCCCCCACUUUCUCCCUUUUCUCCUUGUCCUUUCUCCCCAACUCCCCUCCCCUCUUCUCUUCCUCCCACCCACCCCUCUGGCGGCCGCACAGCCCAGUUCCCGCCCGUGCAAUGGGUUUUGUUUGGUGGCUUUUGGGCUGGGGCGCCAUUCCCGCAGGGCGAGCGUGCCCCCUGGAGUUGUGCCACGCAGCGGCCCAGCUUCAAGUCCUCAAGGGUGGAUUCUGACCCCUGCCAACCUCCACCUGUCCACCUGCAGGGCUGGGCCGCCCUCCUGCUCGCACGCUUUCCGCCCGGGCUGUGCCCCACCCUGCCGGCUGAUUGGUGCCACGUUCUGGAUGUUUCCCGAGGGUUUUGUGCGGUGCUGCCGCCGCUGCCGCCGCGCUCUUUGUUUUAAUUGUCCAGAGUAUUGGCGCCCGGAGCGGGUCAUCUAUAAGCUGUGGCCCUUCGUGAAGUCCCUGGCCUCCAGGCCACAAUACAGACUAUAUACUUCAUGCAUGUGCAAUGAAGAUUGUCAGCGGGUUCAGGAGAAGGGGCCUUGGCACCGCAGUAUUCCUGAGGUUUCCACCUGUUUUCCUGGGUCUUUCUCCUGAGUUUUUCUGCUCCCUCAUUGCACCCAGACUCCCUUGGUCUUCAGAGAACUGAAUGGUUCCCUCGGGUUGUUUGUAAUCAGGAUUCAUGGAAUUGCAGUUGUCAAAGCUUUUGUGGGCUUUAAGCCUUUGCAUUUACUCAAGCUUAGUCCACGCAGAGGAGCCCUGCAGGGGGCUGGCUAUAUUUAACCGGGUACUGUAUUCCCAGUCGCUCACUUAUUUAUCUUCGAUUGCUCCCCUGCUGCACUUUGGGCACCACCCAGCACCCGGAGAAUUCAGAAGUAGGCAGGACCAUCCACUCUGCCAAGAGCAACAGGCAUGCAGAAAACUGGCCCCAAGGCACUGGAGUCCUCUAAAAGAAGCCAGCCGCUGUUCGUGAGCUGCGACUGCCGUCGUGGUGGAAGAAAGCCUGAGCACCAUAUGGUAUGAGUGAGAGAUACUUUGCCAGCCUCCAGUCUCCAGCCUCCAGCAUCACGGCAAACCAUCAUAAUGCUGGAGAGUCCCCAAGCCAGAACUGCUCAGUUGAGUCCUACUAACUCCACGAACCAUGAAAGAUAAUAAUAAAUUGUUGUUUUGA